rnacentral:rRNA from 1 species
AUACGGAGGAUCCGAGCGUUAUCCGGAUUUAUUGGGUUUAAAGGGAGCGUAGGCGGACGAUUAAGUCAGCUGUGAAAGUUUGCGGCUUAACCGUAAAAUUGCAGUUGAUACUGUCAGUCUUGAGUGUGCAUGAGGUGGGCGGAAUUUGUGGUGUAGCGGUGAAAUGCUUAGAUAUCACGAGGAACUCCAAUUGCGAAGGCAGCUCACUGGGGCAUAACUGACGCUGAUGCACGAAGGUGUGGGUAUCAAACAGGAUUAGAUACCCUGGUAGUCCACACAGUAAACUAUGAAUACUCGCUGUUUGCGAUAUACAGUAAGCGGCCAAGCGAAAGCAUUAAGUAUUCCACCUGGGGAGUACGCCGGCAACGGUGAAACUCAAAGGAAUUGACGGGG